rnacentral:lncRNA from 1 species
UGGCACUGGGCCGAGUCCAGCGGAGGUGGCUGCCAGCAAAACUCCACUGAAGUCAAAGGAAUUGCACCCAUGCACAGGUAUUGAGUUCAUGGGCAUUCGUUUGCUAGCCCUGAGUGGCUUUGGACAUGAGGCCACGCACCUUCAUCUGCACACUUGAAAGCACAUGUCUCAAGAGCAUCUGGUCCUUGAAAUGCUAGAGAGAAGGGAUGCAGAACAAAUAGCAAAAACCACAUUUUGGAAGACUUUAUUUGCUGAAAAUAUUCUGCUCAGCUUGAAUUCCAUGAACUUUGAGAAUCUUUUUCUCUGGCCCAGUCUAAACCAGAGAGAAAGAUUGGCUUCACAGAAGUGGAUUCACACCAGUCUGUUAGCUCUUUGUGCCACUCCAUAUGGCCCCACUCCUCACUAUUUGCAAAAAGUUGCCACAAACUACUAGAUGUGUUCAUCCAUAUCUUCUGAAGUGCGGUGGAGUAGAGAAGCCCUUGCACAGCACCCUUUCCCCCUCUUCCUCAUGACCUCCAUGCUGUGACUGGCCUCAGGGAGUUGGUGCUCCUUUUUCAAGAAGUCGCAGUGUUCGGAAACUAGCUAGAGGUUGUGCAGUUUUCAGAGAGCAGCAGGACAGGAGUCCCUUCCUGCUCUGCUACUGAGACAGAAAACUUCCAGGCACGGAAAGGAAUUGCAGCCCAUCGUCCUGAUAGUAAAGAACCUGUGUCCUGAUGCCUGUAUUUCCACCUUCAUAAUCAGCAGAGCUGCAUUUGAAAUUCUCUUUAAUUUAACCAUCUGCUUUGGAUUUUUUAUCAAUAAGAUGCUACCUGUGCAUCUGUGCUGCACAGAAAAAGCAAGAGGAAAAAACCUGUGAGUGGCAACAUGAAGGUGUGUGGGAAAAGGCAGUAAGGAAGAGUCCAAAGUUACCUAUGCUGGAACACUGUGUGAAGCUGAAUAAGGGGAACAAACUUGGAGGGUAAAAAAAUUUUUUCCUGGUUCUAAAUAGACUGCAGAGGAAGGAUUUUAACAUUCAGAUGACUGUGAAAGCCAUUUACUCAGCAUCAUGAGCAGCAUGUAGUUUGAUAACAUGAAAUAAGCACCUCAUCCUCCACUGCUACUCAUGCGUGUACAAUUCUUCCCAUUUAAUUCACCAGGACUAAUUAUCUGAAUUAGUGACAUUAGCUUGAAGCUAUGGUUUUGCAGAUUGAGGCUCUGGCUUUCAGAACAACUUCUUUAAAAGAAUUAGUCAUGUCUAAAUACAACAGAACUGUCACACUGCAUCUUCUGGCUUUGUCUGACAUUUUGGUCACAAUAUCAACCUUAUGCAAGACUGUCCUCAUGGCAAUAGGCUUAAGGCAGUGGUUACUCUAAUUUUGUGUCACUGACAGCCAAAAAAGUUCAUAAAGUUUGGACAGUUACUUCACCAACUGACAAUAAAUGAGGUAAGAUGCACUUCA